rnacentral:tRNA from 2 species
GGCGAGCCUAGCUGAGCGGUUCAAGCACUGGUCUGUGGAUCCAGAGUAGGCGGGUUCAAUUCCCGUUGUUCGCC